UACGGAGGGGGCUAGCGUUGUUCGGAAUUACUGGGCGUAAAGCGCACGUAGGCGGCUUUGUAAGUUAGAGGUGAAAGCCCGGGGCUCAACUCCGGAAUUGCCUUUAAGACUGCAUCGCUAGAAUUGUGGAGAGGUGAGUGGAAUUCCGAGUGUAGAGGUGAAAUUCGUAGAUAUUCGGAAGAACACCGGUGGCGAAGGCGGCUCACUGGCUCGUAACUGACGCUCAUGCACGACAGCGUGGGGAUCAAACAGG
rnacentral:rRNA from 1 species